AACCUGCGGAGGGAUCAUUACUGAGUUUACGCUCUACAACCCUUUGUGAACAUACCUAUAACUGUUGCUUCGGCGGGUAGGGUCUCCGCGACACUCCCGGCCUCCCGCCCCCGGGCGGGUCGGCGCCCGCCGGAGGAUAACCAAACUCUGAUGUAACGACGUUUCUUCUGAGUGGUACAAGCAAAUAAUCAAAACUUUUAACAACGGAUCUCUUGGUUCUGGCAUCGAUGAAGAACGCAGCGAAAUGCGAUAAGUAAUGUGAAUUGCAGAAUUCAGUGAAUCAUCGAAUCUUUGAACGCACAUUGCGCCCGCCAGCAUUCUGGCGGGCAUGCCUGUUCGAGCGUCAUUUCAACCCUCAAGCUCUGCUUGGUGUUGGGGCCCUACAGCUGAUGUAGGCCCUCAAAGGUAGUGGCGGACCCUCCCGGAGCCUCCUUUGCGUAGUAACUUUACGUCUCGCACUGGGAUCCGGAGGGACUCUUGCCGUAAAACCCCCAAUUCUCCAAAGGUUGACCUCGGAUCAGGUAGGAAUACCCGCUGAACUUAAGCAUAUCAAUAG
rnacentral:rRNA from 1 species